AUCAAUCGUCGUCAUAUGACUGAUAAAAAAAAGUCACCAGUAUCACAAACCCAGUUGUAGCGCAUCAAGCGUUCUCAAAAUGCGUACGUCGGGUAUUUCAGGUACAAGCAAUUUUUUUUACGAAUUUUGUACUGAAUAAGCUGUUCAGAUUAUGUAUCCCUGUUAACUGUUGAGCUGCAUAAAGCCAAAAAAUAUAUGGAAAAACCUAAAAAUCCACUCUCUAAUUGAUAUGCCAUAUACAUUUAAGACCACAGACCCAUCAACUGUAAGUUAUUAUAAUAAAUUGAUAAUAUUAUGAACUAGUUUUCGGUCUAUGAGUAAGAUUCACGUAGACGUAGUAUUGUAGGUACUACAGUUUUGAUAAUAGUCCUAUUAGUUGUAAAAGAUGUUUUUUUAGAGUAUUUAAAUACAAGUAACUCGUAUUUUUGAAUACUACUAUAGUACAGUGGUUCUCAAUCUUUUUUGGUUCACGGCACACUAUUAUACAUCACAAAUUUUCACUGACGCACUGACGCACUUGACAACCACAACAACUUUGGAAACUUCGCCGAAGGCAAUAAAUAUCGCCACGCGCCUAAACAUGUAUGACAUUUUCGGCGGUAUAUCUAGUCGAUCUCACGGCGCAGUAGUGUGACACGGCACACUGGUUGAGAACCACUGCUAUAGUAGGUGAUUGUUAAUUAUUUCAAAUAUAUACCUCCUAAUUUAUAAAAAUAUCUAAUAUUGAAAACAUACGAAAAAUGUUGAACAUCUACCUCCCUCUUACAUAAUACGCUACUGAACUAAACUAAAGUAUACAGUAAACAUUGACCUAAGAACUAAUGGACAGCGCUUAGAGAGAGCAACCAGCUACCAACGAGAUAUCCGAGAGAGAAAGAACUAUGCUUUGGGACCUUUAGGUGUUUUUUCACUCAUUCUACUUCGUCCCUAUGAAUUGUAGGCAAGGUGAUUUGGUAGGCGCUAUCCAUUAGCUUAUAGAACUGCCACAAUAAACGUGAUAAAGAUAAAUGAAAAAACAUGAUUGGGAGUGAAGUGAUUAAAUUAUUAGGACGCUAUUCAUUAUAGUAACGCAUACUGACGCGUAGCUUGGGAUUAAUAAGAUUAAAAGAAAAUUAAAAAAGAUCACCGCUUUAUUUUAAGCCAUUCGACACUGUAUCGAUUUCUGAAGUGUCGAAGUGAAGGGGAUAUGUAAGCCAAAUUAUGAGUGGAUUAGCCAUCCAAUGGAUAUAUUUAUCUCUACCCAUGGGCACCCCAGAGAAUUUUCCUGGAGGAGGGAAUGAAAAUAGAUUGAAAUACUCUAAAAUAUUCUAAAAAACCUAUUAUUCUAUACGAACAUAAUACGAAUGGUUUACUAAUUAAGUGAAAAGCAUUGAACAAAAGUCUAUGGUAUCAAGUAUGGUAUUAAAUAUGAAAUAAGUACAUUCAAAGAUAUUUAAAGAAUAUAUUAUUAUUUUUUGCAUAAUUUAUUAUUUUCUAGAGGGAGGACAUGUUUUCUCUUGUCACCCUUCCAAUGGGUGCCCUUGCCAGUACCUCCUAGUUCAUAUUGGAAAUAAUUGGAACCUUAAAAUAUACCACAAUCCAUAAAUAUUUAACCGAAUCAAGAGAAAGAAUAGCCAACAGGUUAUAUUUAAUGUUAUGUUUGGACAGAAGAUAUGUCUUAAAAUAAAAUAUGUCUUAUGGUUGCAUUAUGGGACACAUAGGGCUAUAUUAUAUAAUAAACACUAUUAUGAAUUAUAAAUGUAUAACCAUCAUAAAUUAUGAUUGUUGUGAGUUUAAAGACUAAUGCAGCGGCGACAACAACUUACUGUGAUCUGAUUCUUAUAAUUUAUAACAUAUUGUCUAUACAAUGUAGUGACUAAUAAGCAAGGCUGGGCAAGUUAAUGAUAUUUUUUAACUCAGUUAAGUUAAGUUAAAUUAAAAUCUAAAUCAAGUUAAGAGUUAAAAGUUAAUUCAAAAUGUUCUAUCAAUUAAACUAAGUUAAGAGUUAACCAAAAUGUAAUAUUAACUUUUUAACUCAAGUUAAGUUAAAAAAAGUUUUUUUGUUUUCAUAUAGGAAAAAUUAAAAUAUUCGUACCUAAAAUUGUUCAUGUUAUUACACCAAAGAACUAUUAUUAUUUUAUGUGUUCAAAAAGCUAACAGUACUAUACGGAAAAUGUAGACUGAUACCAGAUUGUACAAACUCGAAAAUGGUCGCGUUAGUUUAACCUAACCGCGUCUUUAUAUUUUAGUCGAAGUCGAAGUAUAGGCGAGUACAAUACUGAGUAGCGUAUUUAUUUUUAUACUCAUACAGUGAUUACUGAAUACUGAAUACUUAUUAGUAGUUAUUACUAAUACACGAUAAUUAGCGGUAGGCCUGUAUGGGUUGUUAGAUUAUCAA